AGCGUAGGCGGACAUUUAAGUCAGGGGUGAAAUCCCAGAGCUCAACUCUGGAACUGCCUUUGAUACUGGGUGUCUUGAGUGUGAUAGAGGUAUGUGGAACUCCGAGUGUAGAGGUGAAAUUCGUAGAUAUUCGGAAGAACACCAGUGGCGAAGGCGACAUACUGGAUCAUUACUGACGCUGAGGCUCGAAAGCGUGGGGAGCAAACA
rnacentral:rRNA from 1 species